AAAACGACUCUCGGCAACGGAUAUCUCGGCUCUCGCAUCGAUGAAGAACGUAGCGAAAUGCGAUACUUGGUGUAGAUUGCAGAAUCCCAUGUGAACCAUCGAGUCUUUGAACGCAAGUUGCGCCCCAAGCCUUCUGGCCGAGGGCACGUCUGCCUGGGUGUCACAA
rnacentral:rRNA from 1 species